rnacentral:rRNA from 1 species
UACGGAGGGGUGCAAGCGUUAUCCGGAUUCACUGGGUUUAAAGGGUAGCGUAGGCGGAUAGGUAAGUCCGUGGUGAAAUCCUGCAGCUUAACUGCAGAACUGCCGUGGAUACUAUCUAUCUUGAAUAUCGUGGAGGUUAGCGGAAUAUGUCAUGUAGCGGUGAAAUGCUUAGAUAUGACAUAGAACACCCAUUGCGAAGGCAGCUAACUACGCGAUCAUUGACGCUGAUGCACGAAAGCGUGGGGAUCAAACAGG